rnacentral:rRNA from 1 species
UAGGGUUCGAUUCUGGCUCAGAUUGAACGCUGGCGGUAGGCUUAACACAUGCAAGUCGUGCGAGAAAGUAUCCUCGGAUAUGAGUAGAGCGGCGGACGGGUGAGUAACGCGUAGGAAUCUACCUAGUAGAAGGGGAUAGCCCGGGGAAACCCGGAUUAAUACCGUAUACCUCCUUCGGGAGAAAGAAGGCCUCUCUUUGAAGCUUUCGCUACUAGAUGAGCCUGCGUAAGAUUAGCUUGUUGGUGAGGUAAAGGCUCACCAAGGCGACGAUCUUUAGCUGGUCUGAGAGGACGAUCAGCCACAUUGGGACUGAGACACGGCCCAGACUCCUACGGGAGGCAGCAGUGGGGAAUAUUGGACAAUGGGCGCAAGCCUGAUCCAGCCAUACCGCGUGUGUGAAGAAGGCCUUCGGGUUGUAAAGCACUUUAAGCAGGGAGAAAAAGUUAUAAGUUAAUACCUUAUAACCCUGAUGUUACCUGCAGAAUAAGCACCGGCUAAUUCCGUGCCAGCCGCCGCGGUAAUUCA